rnacentral:tRNA from 1 species
GGUCUCGUGGCCGAGUGGCUAGGCAGCGGUCUGCAAAACCGCGUACAGCGGUUCGAAUCCGCUCGAGACCU